rnacentral:tRNA from 1 species
GGAGGGGUGGCCGAGCGGCCGAAGGCGGGGGACUUGAAAUCCCCUAAGGGUGGAAAAGCCCUUCGCGGGUUCGAAUCCCGCCCCCUCCG